AGGCCAUUUGAUGAGAUUCGAUCAAUCGUCACAUACAGCCAAAAGCGAUCGCUCGCCUUGAACGACUAUA
ensembl:snoRNA snoRNA:Or-CD13 snoRNA:Orphan C/D box 13